GCCUAUGCAGUUCAGUUGGUUAGAAUGCUGUACCGGAAUCGCAGGGCCGCAGGUUCGAUUCCUGCCAGAGGAC